AAUCAAACAUUAUAGUCUAAUGAGUUAUUGAAAAAUUUAUAGUGAUUUAAAACAUUUUUAAACUUAGUAAAAGUGAUAGAAAAUUGUUAAAUAAGACCUAAGAAAAGUACCGUAGGGGAAUUAGUUCAAUUAAGAAAUAGAAAGACUUAACACUUGUACCUUUUGCAUCAUGGUUUAGCUAGAUGUACUUUUUCUCUUAAAUUCCUCGAAAUCUAAUGAGUUAUUUUUAUUCAGUAUAUUAGUAUAAAAGAGUAGUUGUAGCAAAAACUUUCUUAGAAAUAAAAAUGGAAAUGAAAUUUUAUUCGUAUUAGAUGAUAGCUAGUUUUUCUAUAAAAGUAUAUAAGUACUUUAGAUUAAUUUAAUUUUUAUAAAUUAUUAUAUAAAAAGAAUUUAAUUUAGUUAAAUUUUCGAGGAUAAGCUCGAAAAUUAAGAGUAUAUUUGUAUUAUAUUUUUGUUAAAAUUUAGGCUUGAAAAUAGCCAUAAUUUUGAGUUUGUUAUAAUUUAUUAGUUAAUUAAAAAAAUAAUUAAUUUACUUAUUAUUAUAGAAAAAAAUUUAAUAAUUAAAUUAAAUUGUAUUAAUGCUAAAAUGAGUAUUAAAAAUAUUUUAUAUUUUUUUAACAGUCUUAUCAGUUAAAAUUUAUAUUUAUUUAUAACACUAAAAUUAUAAAAAGGAACUCGGCAAAUACUCAUUCUGCCUGUUUAGCAAAAACAUGGCUCCUUGAACUUUAGUAAUAGGGAGUCGGACCUGCCCAGUGAAUUUUUUAACGGCCGCGGUACUCUGACCGUGCAAAGGUAGCAUAAUCAUUUGCCUUAUAAUUGAAGGCUAGUAUGAAUGGUUUGACAAGAAUGAAGCUGUCUCUUUAUAAUUUAAUAGAACUUUAUUUUUAGGUGAAGAAGCCUAGAUAAAAUUAAAAGACAAGAAGACCCUAUCGAGCUUGAAAGAAGUUAGUAGAAUUAAUUUAAUUAAUAUUUAUAAAAAAUUAUCUACUAAAUAUUUUAGUUGGGGCGACUGAGGAACAUAAAAAGCUUCCUUUAAUAAAAUUACUAAAAUCAAACUAGAAUUGAUCCGAAACAUUUUGAUUAAAGAAAUUAGUUACCGUAGGGAUAACAGCAUUAUCUUUUUUAAGAGCUCAUAUCGAAAAAAAGGUUUGUGACCUCGAUGUUGGACCAGAAUAUCCUAAAGGUGCAGCAGUCUUUAAGGGUUGGUCUGUUCGACCAUUAAAAUUCUACGUGAUCUGAGUUCAGACCGGCGUGAGCCAGGUCAGUUUCUAUCUUUAAUUAUUUUGAUAAAUUUAGUACGAAAGGACCAAUUUAUCGUAAGAGUUAUACUUCAUAUUGAUUAAAUUUAAUUGAAAAUUAAAUAUCAAAUUAGCAAAAGUUAAUGCAAUUGACUUAGGAUCAAUAGAUAUAGGUGAAAUUCCUUUAUUUGAUAAGUAAAUAAAUAUAAAGAUGGCAGAUGAA
rnacentral:rRNA from 1 species